ACAGGAGGGGGGCCUCUUGGUCCCCGGGGGCUUCGUCCCCCAACUCUUCACCCCUAUGUCUCAACCUACCUCUGUUGCUUUGGCGGGCCUUGGGGGGGCUCCCCCCUCACGGCGACCUCGGGCGUCAUUGCCCGGGCCGGCGAGAGCCCGUCAGAGAUCCUUCUCAACUCGAUUUAUUUAGUGAUGUCUGAGUGAAAACCACAAUCGCACAAAAAAACUUUCAACAACGGAUCUCUUGGUUCUGGCAUCGAUGAAGAACGCAGCGAAAUGCGAUAAGUAAUGUGAAUUGCAGAAUUCAGUGAAUCAUCGAAUCUUUGAACGCACAUUGCGCCCCUUGGUAUUCCGGGGGGCAUGCCUGUUCGAGCGUCAUUACACCCCUCAAGCUCAGCUUGGUAUUGGGUCUCGCCCCUCCCCGGGGCGGCCCCGAAAGGCAGUGGCGGUCCGGCGUGACUUCGAGCGUAGUAAAAGUGACCUCCCGCUUUGGAAGCUCGCGCCGCGGCCGGCCAGAACCCCCCAAAUCUUUCUCCCAAAGGAUUGACCUCGGAUCAGGUAGGGAUACCCGCUGAACUUAAGCAUAUCAAUAAGCGGAGGAAAAGAAACCAACAGGGAUUGCCUCAGUAACGGCGAGUGAAGCGGCAACAGCUCAAAUUUGAAAUCUGGCCCUUUCAGGGUCCGAGUUGUAAUUUGCAGAGGAUGUUUCGGGGGCGGCGCCGGUCUAAGUCCCUUGGAACAGGGCGUCAUAGAGGGUGAGAAUCCCGUAUGCGACCGGUGGCCAACCCCAUGUGAAACUCCUUCGACGAGUCGAGUUGUUUGGGAAUGCAGCUCUAAAUGGGUGGUAAAUUUCAUCUAAAGCUAAAUACCGGCCAGAGACCGAUAGCGCACAAGUAGAGUGAUCGAAAGAUGAAAAGCACUUUGGAAAGAGAGUCAAAAAGUACGUGAAAUUGUUGAAAGGGAAGCGCUUGCGACCAGACCUGUCCGUCCGGCGAUCAGCCCCUGUUCUCAGGGGUGCACUCGUCGGCGAGCAGGCCAGCAUCGGUUCGGGCGGCGGGAUAAAGGCCUUGGGAAUGUAGCUCCCUGCGGGGAGUGUUAUAGCCCUCGGUGCAAUGCCGCCAGCCCGGACCGAGGACCGC
rnacentral:rRNA from 1 species